AAGGAGAUUAGGUUAACAAGACCAAGAGCCUUCAGAGCCGUAAGUAAAUAUAUCAGUAUUUAUUUCUUG